CCCGGAUCCACCUCAGUGCGCUGACAGGGUCACUUCCAAUGGCCACCGGCUACUGUCUACAGCCUGAAGAAGGGAGAGCUACAACUGACAGAUACGCCGCAUAAUGGCAAAGACACGACCAUGACCCUCCAUUUGCCAAAGGCCUACCAGCACAGCACUGCCAAGGACGCACACCCAUUAGUGUGUGUGUGUGCUGCCAAUGUAGUCUGUGUGCACACUCAGUUGCGUGGAUUGUCAGUUGAAAUUCGUUUUCAACGAAUAAAAGCAAACGUGAUAAAAAUUUCACAUUUGCAUUCUCCGCUGCA